CCUACGGGAGGCAGCAGUGAGGAAUAUUGGUCAAUGGCCGCAGGGCUGAACCAGCCAAGUCGCGUGAGGGAUGACGGUCCUAUGGAUUGUAAACCUCUUUUGUCAGGGAGCAAAGGGCGCCACGUGUGGCGCUUUGCGAGUACCUGAAGAAAAAGCAUCGGCUAACUCCGUGCCAGCAGCCGCGGUAAUACGGAGGAUGCGAGCGUUAUCCGGAUUUAUUGGGUUUAAAGGGUGCGCAGGCGGAAUGUCAAGUCAGCGGUAAAAUUUCGGGGCUCAACCCCGUCGUGCCGUUGAAACUGGCGUUCUUGAGUGAGCGAGAAGUAUGCGGAAUGCGUGGUGUAGCGGUGAAAUGCAUAGAUAUCACGCAGAACUCCGAUUGCGAAGGCAGCAUACCGGCGCUCAACUGACGCUCAUGCACGAAAGCGUGGGUAUCGAACAGGAUUAGAUGCCCCAGUAGUC
rnacentral:rRNA from 1 species